rnacentral:RNase_P_RNA from 1 species
GUUUUUGAGUAAUCGCAGCAGGCGUAAUCCUGCUGAGGAAAGUCCAUGCUCGCCCUUGCUGAGAUGUAAGGAGUGUUCGUGCUAGAUGAAAAAAUAAAUCUAGGCGCAAAAGCGACGGCAGAUAAAAGAGCUAAGGCAAUUGCUAAUUGCUAUGCUUAAGUAGUCUUGAAAAGUGCCACAGUGACGAAGUAUUUUUGGAAACGAAAAUAGUGGAACGCGGUAAACCCCUCGAGCGAGCAACCCAAACUUAUGGUAGGGGCAUUGAAUGAAUGGAAAUGAACAGACAUUCGAGUCGAAAUUAUUCGACAGACAGAUGAUUACUGAUUUGUUUACAUAACCUAGGUAAACAUUGAACAGAACAUGGCUUAUAGAA